rnacentral:rRNA from 1 species
UACGGAGGAUGCAAGCGUUAUCCGGAUUUAUUGGGCGUAAAGCGUCCGCAGGUGGUUUUCCAAGUCUGCUGUUAAAGCGCGAGGCUUAACCUCGUACAGGCAGUGGAAACCGGAUGACUAGAGUAUGGUAGGGGUAGCGGGAAUUCCCAGUGUAGCGGUGAAAUGCGUAGAUAUUGGGAAGAACACCAGCGGCGAAAGCGCGCUACUGGGCCAUUACUGACACUCAUGGACGAAAGCUAGGGGAGCGAAAGGG